CGCGUGAGGGAUGGAGGCCUUCGGCUUUUAAACCUCUUUUAUCGGGGAGCAAGCGAGAGUGAGUUCAUCCGUUGAAUAAGCACCGGCUAACUACGUGCCAGCAGCCGCGGUAAUACGUAGGGUGCAAGCGUUAUCCGGAAUUAUUGGGCGUAAAGGGCUCGUAGGCGGUUCGUCGCGUCCGGUGUGAAAAUCCAUCGCUUAACGGUGGAUCCGCGCCGGGUACGGGCGGGCUUGAGUGCGGUAGGGGAGACUGGAAUUCCCGGUGUAACGGUGGAAUGUGUAGAUAUCGGGAAGAACACCAAUGGCGAAGGCAGGUCUCUGGGCCGUUACUGACGCUGAGGAGCGAAAGCGUGGGGAGCGAACAGGAUUAGAUACCCUGGUAGUCCACGCCGUAAACGGUGGAUGCUGGAUGUGGGGCCCGUUCCACGGGUUCCGUGUCGGAGCUAACGCGUUAAGCAUCCCGCCUGGGGAGUACGGCCGCAAGGCUAAAACUCAAAGAAAUUGACGGGGGCCCGCACAAGCGGCGGAGCAUGCGGAUUAAUUCGAUGCAACGCGAAGAACCUUACCUGGGCUUGACAUGUUCCCGACGGUCGUAGAGAUACGGCUUCCCUUCGGGGCGGGUUCACAGGUGGUGCAUGGUCGUCGUCAGCUCGUGUCGUGAGAUGUUGGGUUAAGUCCCGCAACGAGCGCAACCCUCGCCCCGUGUUGCCAGCGGAUUAUGCCGGGAACUCACGGGGGACCGCCGGGGUUAACUCGGAGGAAGGUGGGGAUGACGUCAGAUCAUCAUGCCCCUUACGUCCAGGGCUUCACGCAUGCUACAAUGGCCGGUACAACGGGAUGCAACGCGGCGACGCGGAGCGGAUCCCUGAAAACGGGUCUCAGUUCGGAUCGCAGUCUGCAACUCGACUGCGUGAAGGGCGGAUUCGCUAGUAAUCGCGAAUCAGCAACGUCGCGGUGAAUGCAUUCUCGGGGCUUGUAAACACCGCCCGUCAAGCAUGAAAAGGGGCAACACCCGAAAGCCGGUGGCUAAACCCUUGGUGGAAGGAACCCUCUAAGGUGAGCUUCUGAAUUGGACUAAUUUUAACAAGGUACCGUACCGGAAGGUGCGGUGG
rnacentral:rRNA from 1 species